GAAGAAUAAGAAGAGGUCCCUAUCGAUCCAAUUCAGGAGAGGAAGUGGUAGGAUGCAGCUGCCGGUUCAUGGAUACCUCUGGAGUGCAUGGCUAGUAAUGACAUCGUAGGCCUGCACUUGCAUGGGUUUGCAUGACCUGGGAGAUGAACCUGCCAUUGUCUUCCUCUAUUGAUUGGAUUGAAGGGAGCUCUAGCUACACAUCUC
rnacentral:pre_miRNA from 1 species